GAAUUCACUAGUGAUUGUAGUCAUAUGCUUGUCUCAAAGAUUAAGCCAUGCAUGUCUAAGUAUAAGCAACUAUACGGUGAAACUGCGAAUGGCUCAUUAAAUCAGUUAUCGUUUAUUUGAUAGUACCUUACUACAUGGAUAACCGUGGUAAUUCUAGGGCUAAUACAUGCUAAAAACCUCGACUUCGGAAGGGGUGUAUUUAUUAGAUAAAAAACCAAUGCCCUUCGGGGCUCCUUGGUGAAUCAUAAUAACUUAACGAAUCGCAUGGCCUUGCGCCGGCGAUGGUUCAUUCAAAUUUCUGCCCUAUCAACUUUCGGUGGUAGGAUAGUGGCCUACCAUGGCGUCAACGGGUAACGGGGAAUGGGGCGGGGGCGGCGGGCCGGGCGCGGGGCGCGGCGGGCG
rnacentral:rRNA from 1 species